rnacentral:lncRNA from 1 species
CCCCAAGAAGCACCUAAAGAAGAACAUCAAACAUCACUGUGGUGAUCAUGACAUGCAAUACCCAAAGAAAAAUAAUUUAAGAAAAAAUAAACCUAUUCAUCACACAAUGCUAAAAUACAUAUGCCUACAUAUCCAUAAUUUCUAUGUUUACGGAACACCUUUCGAUAAGUCACAACCUUCAUUUUAAAAUGGACUUUUGUAUUUGUAUUUUGCUUGUGAGUAUGGUCUUGGUUAAAACUUCGCAUUCUAGCAUUUACUUAUAUGAUAUCAUAUAGCAAGAAAGCUAUGAGACCCAAGUCACAAUUUAUUGUAUUCUCAUAGACCCUCAAAAUACUAGAGCUAGACAAAGAUAAACAACACGAUAGAGAAACUUCUGCUUUACAUGUACAUUGACAUUUGCAUGUGCAAAGCUCUCUUUCCUCCUUUCCUUUCUUUUCUUCCUCACCUUUCGAAUCUUUCUCCUAGAUUAAGGAGAUUGUUGUUUUGUUGUUAGUGGUUGCCAUCAUCAUCACAUUGAAAUCAACUUUAGUUAAUACUAGCCUCCUGCACGCGCUCACGGGCGUGCGGAAGGCCCUUUUGUAAUUAAGGCAUUCUACGUGCGACUUAAAUAAUUUAAAUGAUAACAAAAGAGCGGUUGCUCUCUGAUCUAAUUGCAGACACAAUCUGCAGAACCGUCUUCUAUGGGAUUUGAACUUGUGAAGUGUGAGGUGGAGACCUGAAUGUAACAAAUUGGUGUUAAGUGAAUAAUUCCAAACAUAUAAAAUUUAGAUCAUCACACCGAACGCAAACAGAACAAUUAAAUAAACAACUGAAGGCAUACGCAAUCUAAUUAGACAAAUAAGUGAACUUUCCCAUGCCGAAAUCUGAAAGGCCAACAGAAAUAUCUCAUUACAGCACAGAAGACAAAACUUAGGACAAAACUUAAAACUAAUCAAACUUAGGUGAACCAAUUAUAGAGAACAUAACCCUUGUAACCAAUCGGGAAAAGAUGCUUUUAAAUCCCAGAAAAAAAAAUUAAGAGGAGUUUUUUAAAAAACCAUCAUUUCAAUUAUUUUCCAGUCUUACAUUUGGAUUAAACAGAAAAUAUAAGUAAAAAUGCCAACUUUCUAAAAAAACUACAACUAUUUUUACAAAUUUCCAUUACCCAAUGCUGAAAAAUGAGAAUCACGAAGCAAUGAAGAACGGAACACGCGAGAACCAAAAAGUUAAAAACAACACGUAACCAUUUCAAAGACCCAAAAUCCUGCAAGGACAAAAAAAUCCCAUAAAAUCAGUACAUCAGCACUCCCUGCAAAACCCCAAAAUCAGAAAAUUAUAAAAAGAACCCAAAAUCAGUGGCAUGGUCCUCGUUUCUCCAUCAUUCAGUAGCUAAUGACCUAAUGGAAAAGAACCCAAAACAUACAGCUUAAAAUAUGGAAAGUGCUUAUAAAAGCUCAUGAAUAACGUUCAAAGCCUGCAUAGAAAUGGUAUAGCGCAGAUAACAACAAACAAUAAAACUAUGCACAGUAUAACCUAAAUCCGAUAUGUUGCAUUCCCCACACACAGAUUGUUCAAAAUUAAUUUCGUCUCCGUCUUUUUUCAAAUCUGAUAAAAUCCCCAAAACACAAAAAAUAGCAGCUAACUAUUUUUUGAACUCUGUAAACAACGAUAUGCAUCUUAACCCAUUUAACAUAUUCAUAAAAUAACAUCAAACACAUUUAUGCAUGAGAUAAUAUAGAAGUGAAGUCUCACAACUUUCAUAAAAAAUUAUUACUUUGUUAGAGAAAGGCUUGAAAAAAUAUGUAAAUUACUCACCUCUAUUACAAAAAUGUUACAACAGUAGACAAAAAAGGCCAAAAAUACCAAAAGCCGCACCUCCUGAAAUAAAAAACAUAACCAAACGACACAUUCUCAGUAUCUAAACGAUAUCCAGAAAAAAAGAAAUGAACAGACGAAACCCAUGUAAAUAUACAGAACAAACCAAAAAAAAAAAAAAGAACUGAAGCCAGUAAGAAGAUCACAAAUCUGAUAAAGCAAAAGGUAACAUAAUCUAUAUCGAUUUAAUUAUCCAUCCAAAAAGACAUUUGAAUGAAGAACAUUUUUAAGGAUCCAAACAACCAUUAAACUAAACAAUUAAAAGUAAAAACAGCAAAGCAUUCAUUGAAGAAAUAUAUAUAUAUAUAUAUAUUAUAACGUAUUUUGUUCUUUAUACCUAAAAGAAAAACAUUGGCUUUCUUGUAUGCACUGAAGUAUGCAUGUGUCGGAAAUUUACAAUCUAUAGAGACUCAAUCUCAGACUCAAAAAGACAUCUAAAGGAAAAGUAAUAAGAAAAAUAAGUAGUGGUUUUACCUAUACUCCAUGUGUGGACUCCAAUUUUCAAUCACAAUUCAAAAUUCAAGAGGCCUAUAAAUCAACCACAUAGGAAAUGAUCAGUGGAAGAAAAAGAAAAACAACUGAAGCCAAAAUAGCAUCUAACAAAUCAUUUAGAACCAUCACAGAAAACAAUUUUUGCAUAUAAGUAAUUUAAAGGAAUACCAUCAGGUCAUGCAUAUAUACAACGUACCCAAUUAGAUAAGUAGCACAUCAACAAUUGAUGAUCAAAAAGUUAGUCAGCCUCAAUUGCUUGAAUCUAAUUAACUCAAAGAUAAUAAACAGUCCAUUUAAUGCACGGGCUGACUAUCAAUUUUAUAAAGCUAUAAUUCUGUGCAGUUCAAAAACCAAGUGGAAGAAUAGGCAAAAACUAUCUCAUCGCCUGUAAAUGUAAUUAACUAAAUAUUAAACUUCACAGCCACAAAUAAACCUAAAUUCCUCCUAAAACUAUCUCAUUUAAGCUUGAUUUUACUAUAAUCUAUAAGUGUGGUAAAAAAUGGGAGGCCAAACGAUUUGUUAACAAAAAAGGUAGACAUAAAAGUAAAAGGAACAGGGCAGACAUUAGUUGAGGAGAAGCUAAUGUCACCUUGAAUUGACGACAAACAGUUCUUAUCUUCUCGAAUUAACGAAGAUAAGUACCAUUUUUCUUUAAUUCAAGGUAAUAUAAAAAGAAAUUAUACCUGUACAGUGUUCAGAUGUAGCAAUCCUAUGCAAUCGGCCAAAUGAUGUGUGUCCUCUCAAAGAUCUGUAUAUCCAUUACAGACUAAUCUUCAGUCUUGCAGAAAAUGAUAUGUUGACUACAAUUUCCCAUACUACUAAAAAACACAAAUAAUUCUAUCUACAAACCAAAUAAUAUGUGCAACUUUAUGCUACAAUGGUAGAAUAAGAUGGUUGUACAGGACGACACAAAGAUUGAGACUUUUUUUUACUUCUAAAAUUCUACACACUUUCGAGCCCUAAAUUUUCCCGGAAACAAAAAAAAGUGAAAGAAGUCGUACCUGGUUUGAGAGAGUGGGACACCAUCGGCGAGUUUGGUGUAGCAGUGAUGGCGGAGAUCUCUGGUGAGAAAGCUAAUAAGAUGGACAAAAUCAUUGAACAAAAAAAACCUCGCUUUUUAAAAUUAAAGUCAACAAAAAUUUGAACAAAGAAAAGAGAACUCAAACCCGAAACAAAUAAGUCGGAGAACUCGCCAGGAAACCCAAAGUUUCUGCAGGAUUGGCGAUUUCCUGAAAACCAAGCUUUUGUAGGUUUAAAAUUUCUUCCCUAAGGCAACAGAUCCAACAUUCCCAACUUUAGCUAUUUCAGCUACAUAAUAGAAAGAAAAAAAAAUUUAUAUAAUUAACUAAUCUGAUUUAAGAUUAAUCGAAAAGCUUGGAAAUUUCAGCUUUAAAAUUACAUGUCAGGCUGCAAAUCUAAUAAAAAGCGUAGAAUUUUAAAAAUGCUGACCUUAAAUACAGAGGCCUUCGCAGGCUGCAAAGAAGCGUUAGAAACCCGAAAAACCGGAUCUCCUGAAACCAAAAACAAAACCAAAUUAACCAUCAUCACCCAUAAUUCGAAGCCACAAACAUAAUCCCCAAAAUUACAACCCAAAAAUUUAAACAAAAAAACCCAUUUAUAAAUCCAAAUUUACACUCCCAAGUGCAAGACUCUAAGCUCCAACUGUUCUUUCUCAACUUUAGCUAUUUCAGCAACAUAACAUAAAUAAAAAGGUCGUACCCAGUGCACAAGGCUCCCGCUUUACGCAGGGUCUGGGAGAGGUGAAUGUCGGCUAGCCUUACCCCCAUUUUAUGGAGAGGCUGCUCCCAAGUCUCGAACCCGAGACCUACCGCUCAUGGGCGAAGACACUUGCCAUCGCACCAAGUGCGACCUCUAGCAACAUAACAUAAAUAAAAAGAUCGUACCCAGUGCACAAGGCUCCCGCUUUACGCAGGGUCUGGGAGAGGUGAACGUCGGCUAGCCUUACCCCCAUUUUAUGAAGAGGCUGGAACAUAACAUAAAUAAAUAAACAAAAUUAAUUUAACUAUAAUUAACUAAUAUGAUUUAAGAUUAAUCAAAAAACUUGGAAAUCUGCUUGAAUCCAAUCUCAAAAUUGAAAACGAACACUUCACUUUUACAAAAGUUGUACAAAGCAAAAAAAAAAAAACAGACAAAUCAAAGUCUCACAAAGGGCCACAACGACAGCAAAAUUGCAACAGAAAGAGGAAAAAUGUUCAAUCAAACCAUUGGAUAACUCUUCUAAGGCAGCCAAAAAAAAACCCACAAAUUCAAAACCACAAAAAUCCAAUCUAAAACAUCGAUUCACAGACUGAGAUGCACAAAAUGAUAUAUUAACAAAUCCAAAACGAAAUACAAAAAUUAAGAACCAACAAGCAAAAAAAUACUGAUUAUCCCCUGCAUACGUGAGCACACGUUCAAAAAGCCUCUCAAAGGCUGAGAUUCAACUUUCAAACAUAAAGACUUUAAGCCACAAUUGUUCUUUCUUAACUUUAGCUACUUCAGUUACAUAAUCGGAAAAAAAAAAUUAUUUAAUUAUAGUUAACUAAUCUGGGUUAAGAUUAAUAAAAAAGCUUGGAAAUUUCAGAUCUAAAAUCACACCUCAGGCUGCAAGUAGAAUCAAAACCAUGGAAUUUCAAAAUCACUGACCUUAAACACACAGGUCUUCGCAGGCUUCAAAGAAAAGUCACAAACUCGAAAAACCCAAUCUCCUGAAAUCGAAAACAAAACCAAAUUAACCAUCAUCACCUAGAAUCCGAAGCUACAAAACAAAAUUCCCAAAAUCAAAACCAAAAAAUUUGAACAAAAAACUCAUUUAAUAUCCAAAUUUACACUCCCAAGCACAUAACAUUCAAAGCAGACAAUUACCCAAAUCAAAUCGACAGCAGGAGAUGCAAUCUUUUAUGGGCUUCAAAUUUUCUUCAAACCGAGACCAAAUUCGCUAGUUUUCAGCAAGAGAGCGUUGCCGUUUGUAACCCCCGAUGAAAAGAUCCAAACAAAUUUGACUAACAGUAGACAGAGAGAGAGAGAGAUAGAGAGAGAGAGGUGAAAAUUACUCGCUGGUGACGAAGCUAAUGAAUUCGGAGACGCAUUCCUGGACGGUGUUCGACUGAUCGGCACGAGUAGAGACACCAGAUCAGAAAGACAGAAAAAUUAGGGUUUGGGAGAUAAAGAAACUGGGGCAGAGAGAGAGGGAAAGAGAAGCAGAAAAGAGGAUAAUUUUAUGCAUUUUUUUUAGCCGCUUUGAAUUUUUUUUGGCCGACAGGCAUUUGCGUCCGAUUAUUUUUGUCGAAGCCGGUGACACCAAAACCGGCCUCCGGCUUUCGGACCAGGAUUGUCUGCCCCUUCAUUUUCCCUGCCAUGU